rnacentral:rRNA from 1 species
AUUGAACGCUGGCGGCAUGCCUUACAUAUGCAAGUCGAACGGCAGCACGGGUGCUUGCACCUGGUGGCGAGCGGCGAACGGGUGAGUAAUACAUCGGAACAUGUCCUGUAGUGGGGGAUAGCCCGGCGAAAGCCGGAUUAAUACCGCAUACGAUCCACGGAUGAAAGCGGGGGACCUUCGGGCCUCGCGCUAUAGGGUUGGCCGAUGGCUGAUUAGCUAGUUGGUGGGGUAAAGGCCUACCAAGGCGACGAUCAGUAGCUGGUCUGAGAGGACGACCAGCCACACUGGGACUGAGACACGGCCCAGACUCCUACGGGAGGCAGCAGUGGGGAAUUUUGGACAAUGGGCGAAAGCCUGAUCCAGCAAUGCCGCGUGUGUGAAGAAGGACUUCGGGUUGUAAAGCACUUUUGUCCGGAAAGAAAUCCUUGACUCUAAUACAGUCGGGGGAUGACGGUACCGGAAGAAUAAGCACCGGCUAACUACGUG